UGGGGAAUUUUGGACAAUGGGGGCAACCCUGACCCAGCAAUGCCGCGUGUGUGAAGAAGGCCUUCGGGUUGUAAAGCACUUUUGUCCGGAAAGAAAACGUCGUGGUUAAUACCCGUGGCGGCUGACGGUACCGGAAGAAUAAGCACCGGCUAACUACGUGCCAGCAGCCGCGGUAAUACGUAGGGUGCAAGCGUUAAUCGGAAUUACUGGGCGUAAAGCGUGCGCAGGCGGUCCGCUAAGACAGAUGUGAAAUCCCCGGGCUUAACCUGGGAACUGCAUUUGUGACUGGCGGGCUAGAGUAUGGCAGAGGGGGGUAGAAUUCCACGUGUAGCAGUGAAAUGCGUAGAGAUGUGGAGGAAUACCGAUGGCGAAGGCAGCCCCCUGGGCCAAUACUGACGCUCAUGCACGAAAGCGUGGGGGAGCAAACAGGAUUCAGAUACCCUGGUAGUCCACGCCCUAAACGAUGUCAACUAGUUGUCGGGUCUUCAUUGACUUGGUAACGUAGCUAACGCGUGAAGUUGACCGCCUGGGGAGUACGGUCGCAAGAUUAAAACUUAAAUGAAUUGACGGGGUC
rnacentral:rRNA from 1 species